GGAACAGGGUAUUUAUUGAGUGUCUACUGCAUGCCAAGAGCACAGGUUACGCCAUUUGAUCUUCUCAGUAGCCCUGUGAGUACUAUCUUACAGAUAAAGAAACUGAGGCUCACUGGUAACUGUCUCAAGGUCACCGAGUGAAGGACUGAGGGAGGAAUUUAGAUCUGACGCCAAAACCUCUGUUCUCUCCCCACCCCCCACUGCCUCUUUGAGCUUUUGGCUCCUUGUGGAGAAAAGCCGUCCUCACACCACAGUCGAGGCCUGGCCCACUCCAGGCUCCCUAAUCACUCCUUUUCUGGGCCAGGAACAGAGAGGACGCCGUGGUCACGGAGGGACUACCUUUGCCAACUGCUGGUUUUUUCCUCAGAAGAGGAUUUCUCAGUUGUUCGAUUAACUCACUCUGCGUCUCUCCCAGUUGGGGAUGGAGAAGUUGGUUUCCACUCGAUCCUUUUAUCAGGUACCCAACAUGCACCGCGUCUGUCUGCUCUGGGUUUGAGUGGGGCCCACCCAUGGCUGAUUUUUGAACUCAGCCAUCAAAGAUUCAGCUUGAAUCAAGUCUUCAAGCUUGGAUGACUUUUCAAACACCUUGGGAAGAACCGCUCCCCGUGUCGCCCUGUGUUGGUCAAUUACACUUUGGUGAGCAUGACAGAUCAGAGAAAUGAUGGUGGCAGAAGGAGGAGGACGUAGAGAUUUCCGGAUGCUCCCCUUGGAACCCGCAGGCCUGCGCUCUGUUUCCUGCUCCCUGCCAGGCCUCACCACCCCGCAGCUCUGCUGUUUGCCUGCCUCCCUGACCGCCCCGGCCUCUGCUGGCCAGGCUGCCUGUUUCCACUUCUGGCCCCUCUCCGCAGCGCCAGCUCCACCAGGGCAGACGCCUCGCCUUCCUCCAGGGACCUCGCUGCAGCUCCUCACUAAGCUAGCAGACAGACUUUGUGCCCUGGGGCGUUUUUGUAUCAACUGGGAAA
rnacentral:lncRNA from 1 species